CAGAAAAUUUAAAUCAACAACAACAAAAAUUAUAUACUUAGUGUUUUUUGAUUUUUUUGGAAUUAAAACAUUAAUAAUAAAAAAAACCCACCUACAACAUGUCUGAAAUGGAAGAUGUCAUGUCCACCGAGGAGCAAACUCCCUCCGCUGAUACCACCCCAGCUCCAGCUGAUGAAUCUACCAAGAAAACCGAGUUGGUAGAUGAAACAAUGGAAGUAAUACCGGGCGAGAAAAUCGUUACCGAAGGUAUUGAUGAGGAUGGCGACGAAGUGGAGGAGGUCACUGAAGUGACUCGCAAAGUUGUGAAGCGUACUAUGAAAAUUACUGAGACUUCAUCAACCACCAAAACUACAACAUUAACUACACCAGCCAAGUUGUAUGGCAAGGAUUUGAGUGAAUAUGAUGAAGUGGAUGUUGAAGCCUUAUUGGCACAAUUAUCACCUGAAGAAAUUAAUAUUUUGGCCAAAGAAGUUGAUCCUGAUGAUACCUUCUUGCCACCAAAUCAACGUUGCAGUUAUGAAUGCACCAAGGAAUCUACCGGUCCCUUGAAUCGCAAAAAGCUUAUUGAACACAUUAACAAACAGGCCAUAGAAACACCCGAUGAACCCGAGUUUGAACCCUAUGUCAAGGGUACAGUGCGUGGUAAAAAAUGGGUACCACCACCACGGGAUGUACGUGAAAUUGAAGCUGAUGAAAAGAUCGCCAUCGAUAUGGGUGAAGAGUAUGAGCAGGCUUUGAGCGAUGCCACACAAGAGGAAAUUAUUGAUUUGGCUGCCAUUUUGGGUUUCCAUUCGAUGAUGAAUCAAGAUCAAUACCAUGCCUCUUUGUUGAACAAAGGCCAGCCUGUUGGCAUGGGUUGGGAUGGCAUCACAAAGUCUACACAACAAAAAGUGUACCCCAUGGAUCCACCCAACAACACAGAUGUUGAGGAAUCCAUUAAACGUGUUAAAGAAGAUGAUUCAAAAUUGAUCGAACUGAAUUUAAAUAAUAUUAAGAACAUUUCUGAUGAGAAAUUGGAACAAUUAAUUGAAGCACUGCCUCAAAAUGAACAUUUGGAAGUUUUGUCUUUGACAAAUGUGGGUCUGACCGAUAAGACUGCUUUAUUAUUGGCCGAGGCCAUUGAGAAAAGCAAAACCUUGAGAGUAUUAAAUGUCGAAACAAAUUUCAUAAGCCCACCUGUUAUAGUAACAUUAGUUAAAGCCCUGCUUAAGUGUCGUACUAUUGAAGAAUUCAGAGCUUCUAAUCAGCGAUCACAAGUUUUGGGUAAUAAAAUUGAAAUGGAAAUCACGGAUUUAGUGGAAAAGAACACAUCACUGCUUAGACUGGGUCUACAUCUUGAAUUCAAUGAUGCCCGUCAUAGAGUUGCUGCACAUUUGCAACGUAAUAUUGACAGAAUACGUGUUCAACGCCUGAAUCAACGUAAAUAAACGUGUGAUUAUUGUCUUGAAAAUGUCUUAAAUUAAAUGCAUCCAACCAAUCCAGCAAACCAACACAACCAUUUACAAUUAAAAUAAUAAAUCCAGAUGUUUGUUUAAAUAUCACCUUUAAAAUCCAUGUUUUUAACAAAACAAUAAUAAAUACAUUAUUAAAAAUAAAUAAAAAAAUAAUAAACAUAUAAAUGCUUCAUCAACAACUACAACAACUACACUCAAGUAACAAGUUAAAUAAUGAAUGUGGCCAUAAUGGAAUAAACAAUUUGAAAUUUAGUACCAAGAAAAGUCCCUCUAUUACGAUUUUUGUAAAAUCUCUGGACGUCAGCGACGCAUGGGACACUUUGGUAGAAAUUUUACAGUCGGUCUUUGGCAAUAAAUGCUAAAAGUAUAACAUCAAAAUAUAAUACAAAUUAUUACAAAUUUUAUUUAAAAAUUAUUUCAAUGUAAACUGUUUUAUGUAUUUUUUAUAUAUUUUAUUUCUAAAAUGAAAUGUUUGUUGUAAUUUUCGAAAUCUAUACUAAAAUCUAUAACAAUUAUUCAUGAUUGGUGUUAUUAAAACAAAAUAUUUAAAAAAGGUUAAUAAUUCCUAAAUUAUUAACAGUUUUUUUUAAAUUUUUAACAGCAAAAUUACUAAAUAAAUUGUUAUUAUUAUUAAUUCAUUUUACUAAAAUUACAAAUCACUUUCUAUGGCAAUGAGAAAUUUUAAACACAUCGUUAAACAAAUCGUUAAAUAAUUUAUUGUUAAAACAUUUCAUUCUCUAAUCAUUUAUUAUAUGCUGCAGAAGUACUGUAAAAACUAAAUUUGCAAUAUUAAUUUCCAAACUAAAAAUAUUCUUAACUUGUUCAACAAAAAAUGUGUAUGUUGUAAAAAAUUUUAUUAGAAACAUUAAAUUAAAUUAAAAUAUUAAAAUUUUUUCUUUAAAUUUAUUAUACCUAAAAAUUUAGAUAAAAAGACAUUUAUUAUAUUAAAAAGUAAAUAUAAAUUCUUAAAUACCUUUUCCUUAAUUGUUGUAAAGCUUCGAAAUUGAUGAAAUGUUUCACUUGAAAAUGUAUGCUUACUGAAGACGUUAUAAUCCCAAGCAGGCUUAAAAACAAAACCAGAUUAUAUUAAAUUAAAUAUAAAUGCUCUCACACGUACACAUUUAAUACAAUUUUUAUAAAUGGAAAUUCACGUAGUUUAAAAUAUUAAAAACAAAACAAACAAACACAAUAUUAAAUUUAAAACUCUUUAAUUUUAUGCAUUAUUUGUAAUAUGUUUUUCUCUUUUUUUUUAAUUUAAGUUGAUUAAUUUUAUUUUGUAUUUUGAAACUUUUACCAGAUGAUUAUACAUUAUUUAGUUCAUUUAAUUUUCUUUAUAUUUUUUUUUGGUAUUUUUUAAAAAUACUUCUUGCUUUUAUAAUUUUUUUUGACUUUAGAUUUUUUUUUAUUUAAAAAAAGAAAAUUAUUAAAAAUUAUCAUAAACUUAUUUUUAAUAAAACAAAAUAAAAUUGUAUAAUUUAAACAACACAAAAAUAUAUAAAAUAUUACACUUUAUAUAUAUUAAAAAUAUAAUAAAAUUGCUUAUAAAUUAUGUAAAAUGUAAACAAAUAAAAAAUACAAAAAAUUAAAAAAAAAAAUAAAAUAAUAA